rnacentral:rRNA from 1 species
GACGAACGCUGGCGGCGUGCUUAACACAUGCAAGUCGAACGGAAAGGCCUGCUUUCCCUUGUGGAUUGCGGGUACUCGAGUGGCGAACGGGUGAGUAACACGUGAGUGAUCUGCCCCCAACUUGGGUAUAAGCCUGGGAAACUGGGUCUAAUUCCCGAUAGGACUGCAGGGUGGUGCCUGUGGUGGAAAACGAUUUUCUAGUGGUUGGGGAUGAGCUCGCGGCCUAUCAGCUUGUUGGUGGGGUAAUGGCCUACCAAGGCGGCGACGGGUAGCCGGCCUGGGAGGGUGGACGGCAGCAGUGGGACGGAGAUACGGCCCAGACUCCUACGGGAGGCAGCAGUGGGGAAUAUUGCACGAGGGGCGGAAGCCUGAGGCAGCGACGCCGCGUGGGGGAUGACGGCCUUCGGGUGGUAAACUCCUUUCGACCGCGAGGAAGCCACCUGGUUGGAAGGGUGGUGACGGUAGUGGUAGAAGAAGCACCGGCUAACUACGUG